rnacentral:rRNA from 1 species
AGAGUUUGAUCAUGGCUCAGAUUGAACGCUGGCGGCAUGCCUUACACAUGCAAGUCGAGCGGCAGCGCGGGGGCAACCCUGGCGGCGAGCGGCGAACGGGUGAGUAAUACAUCGGAACGUGUCCAGUAGCGGGGGAUAACCUGUCGAAAGAUAGGCUAAUACCGCAUACGACCUACGGGUGAAAGCGGGGGACCGCAAGGCCUCGCACUAUUGGAGCGGCCGAUGUCGGAUUAGCUAGUUGGCGGGGUAACGGCCCACCAAGGCGACGAUCCGUAGCUGGUCUGAGAGGACGACCAGCCACACUGGAACUGAGACACGGUCCAGACUCCUACGGGAGGCAGCAGUGGGGAAUUUUGGACAAUGGGCGCAAGCCUGAUCCAGCCAUGCCGCGUGAGUGAAGAAGGCCUUCGGGUUGUAAAGCUCUUUUACCAGGGAUGAUAAUGACAGUACCUGAGAAUAGUC